rnacentral:rRNA from 1 species
CACGCCCUAAACGAUGUACACUAGUUUUACGGAGUAUCGACCCUCUGUGAGACUAAGCUAACGCGAUAAGUGUACCGCCUGGGUAGUACGGCCGCAAGGCUAAAACUCAAAGGAAUAGACGGGGACUUGCACAAGCGGUGGAUUAUGUGGUUUAAUUCGUAGGUAAACGAAGAACCUUACCAAGGUUUGACACCUAACUGAAAGCUCUAAGAAACUAGAGCCCUCGCAAGACAGUUAGGCAGGUGA